rnacentral:tRNA from 1 species
UUAGGUUUUAAGUUAUAUAAACUAUGAGCCUUCCAAGCUUAAAAAAAUAGAUUAAACCUAA